AUUACCUGGGGACCUUGUUAAAAUGCAGAUUCUGAUUCACCAGCUCUAGGGUAGGCGGGAGAGUGUGCAUUUCUAACAAGUUCCCGGGUGAUGCUGA
rnacentral:pre_miRNA from 1 species